rnacentral:rRNA from 1 species
UGGGGAAUAUUGGACAAUGGGGGCAACCCUGAUCCAGCAAUGCCGCGUGUGUGAAGAAGGUCUUCGGAUUGUAAAGCACUUUCGACGGGGACGAUGAUGACGGUACCCGUAGAAGAAGCCCCGGCUAACUUCGUGCCAGCAGCCGCGGUAAUACGAAGGGGGCUAGCGUUGCUCGGAAUGACUGGGCGUAAAGGGCGUGUAGGCGGUUUACACAGUCAGAUGUGAAAUCCCCGGGCUUAACCUGGGAGCUGCAUUUGAUACGUGUAGACUAGAGUGUGAGAGAGGGUUGUGGAAUUCCCAGUGUAGAGGUGAAAUUCGUAGAUAUUGGGAAGAACACCGGUGGCGAAGGCGGCAACCUGGCUCAUGACUGACGCUGAGGCGCGAAAGCGUGGGGAGCAAACAGGAUU